AAACUUGUAAAAAGGUUAAGACAUAUUAUAACGUAGUUUUGUAUAUUAGUUAUAAUAUAAAAUGCGGUGUCAAACUUGUAAAUAAGUGCAAAGAUAUUAUAACGUAGUUUUAGAAACCAGAUAUAAUAUCUCUUCCUAUCUAAUUUUUCACAUUUCUCUCUCAUCUCUAAUCUCAUCACAUUUCGUCACCGUCUCGUUCUUGUUCCAAACCCUUG
rnacentral:lncRNA from 1 species